rnacentral:rRNA from 1 species
UGAGUAACCUGCUCUUAACUCUGGGAUAAGCCUGGGAAACUGGGUCUAAUACCGGAUAUGACUCCUCAUCGCAUGGGUGGGGGGUGGAAAGCUUUUUUGUGGUUUUGGAUGGACUCGCGGCCUAUCAGCUUGUUGGUGAGGUAAUGGCUCACCAAGGCGACGACGGGUAGCCGGCCUGAGAGGGUGACCGGCCACACUGGGACUGAGACACGGCCCAGACUCCGUACGGGAGGCAG